AUUGAACGCUGGCGGCAGGCCUAACACAUGCAAGUCGAGCGGAUGACGGGAGCUUGCUCCUUGAUUCAGCGGCGGACGGGUGAGUAAUGCCUAGGAAUCUGCCUGGUAGUGGGGGACAACGUUUCGAAAGGAACGCUAAUACCGCAUACGUCCUACGGGAGAAAGCAGGGGACCUUCGGGCCUUGCGCUAUCAGAUGAGCCUAGGUCGGAUUAGCUAGUAGGUGAGGUAAUGGCCCACCUAGGCGACGAUCCGUAACUGGACUGAGAGGAUGAUCAGUCACACUGGAACUGGAACACGGUCCAGACUCCUACGGGAGGCAGCAGUGGGGAAUAUUGGACAAUGGGCGAAAGCCUGAUUCAGCCAUGCCGCGUGUGUGAAGAAGGUCUUCGGAUUGUAAAGCACUUUAAGUUGGGAGGAAGGGCAGUAAGCUAAUACCUUGCUGUUUUGACGUUACCGACAGAAUAAGCACCGGCUAACUCUGUGCCAGCCGCCGCGGUAAUAC
rnacentral:rRNA from 1 species